rnacentral:rRNA from 1 species
AUUGAACGCUGGCGGCAUGCUUUACACAUGCAAGUCGAACGGUAACAGGGAGCUUGCUCCGCUGACGAGUGGCGAACGGGUGAGUAAUGCAUCGGAACGUCCCGUGUAGUGGGGGAUAACGUAGCGAAAGUUACGCUAAUACCGCAUACGCCCCGGGGGGGAAGGGGGGGGACCGCAAGGCCUCAGGCAAUACGAGCGGCCAAUGUCGGAUUAGCUAGUUGGUAGGGUAAAGGCCUACAAAGGCGACGAUCCGUAGCGGGUCUGAGAGGAUGAUCCGCCACACUGGGACUGAGACACGGCCCAGACUCCUACGGGAGGCAGCAGUGGGGAAUUUUGGACAAUGGGCGCAAGCCUGAUCCAGCCAUGCCGCGUGAGUGAAGAAGGCCUUCGGGUUGUAAAGCUCUUUCAGACGGAAAGAAAUCGGUGUGUCUAAUACACGCACUGGAUGACGGUACCGUAAGAAGAAGCACCGGCUAACUACGUGCCAGCCGCCGCGGUAAGAC